AUGUCUGUUCAGGGCGAGGUGAAAUUCCUCACUGGCGGUAACGGGGAAACCCGAAGUCCGCGACCCUCUUAACGGAGGCUGAUUCGGUGCAAGUCCGAAACCAACGGUUACAGUCCGGAUGGAAGAACACGAUG
rnacentral:ncRNA from 2 species